GGUAUAUUGGGCAGGAGAGGGUGGUGAGAAAGACGGUGCUGAAUUAGUGCUGUGCAGGGUGGUGGGUGAUGCUUGUUGCUCAGGUCUUAAGCAUAUCCAUGUAGCAGAAUGAUGCUGCUGUUGAUAGGAAUCAGUAAAUCAGGAAGAGAAGCAAGUGUUUAAGUUUUUUAAUGGUUCUGGAAUUUUGGUUAUACUGAAUUCAAUUUGAGAGCGCACAUUUAGAAUCCGGGAAGUACAGAAAGAGCCAGAGAAUGAGUUGGGAGAAGUCUGAGAGGUUGGAGGAGCAUCCAGAUGGUAUUGGAAAUGGGGAGGGGAGGAUUUCAAGUCAGCACAUGGCCGUCCUUGCCUCUGCAAGUGAAGGUGACAACUUCGAGAGAGCCUCUGUUAUGCAUACAUGUGAGAUGGCUUCUGUUUCUUGCUUUGGCUUCUGAACUUUGCUAAAGCACUUCUGCUGUCUUCAGGAGUAGACAAGACUCCCCGACCGGAGCCUAGGAAAGCCAGCCUCUCUCCCUACUCAUGUAACCUCUGUGAACCGCGCGGGCUGCCAGUUUCCUAUUGCCCUGGGGUGUGUGAACUCACAGCUUUUGCUGGGGAACUGCUGGCCUCGUCUGCUCUGCUCCACUGGGAUCCCAGUGAAGGACUCACAGGCGACGGUGUGAAAUGCGACCAGUCAACUCUCAGCUAACUCGCUUCUUGUACAUCACCCUAAAAAUAAGGAAAAGCAGCUGCGGGAGAGAUUUCAUCAAUCAUGCAACCACUGCUCUGCUUUCUAGUCCUGAAACCAAAUUCACAGGAGAAUCUAAUAAAUGACCUCAAUGCUUUUU
rnacentral:lncRNA from 1 species